CGCAGAUGUUGACACGACAGACUACCCUCAUGCCUCCUGGACUGCCUACUGAAAAACUACCUUGGACGGACUUCAGACGGAAAAGGCGAGGCAAACUUUUAAGAGCGAACAACCGAAAGAGGAUUGAGUGGACUCCUUUGAGAUGAGAGCGAAUGCCGCCUCAGGCACUGGUUUACCGACAGCAGGUGCGCAAGGCUCUAAGAUAAUCUGUGCUUUUCAAAGCCCAGUGCUUCAGACUUUACAAACCAUUCCAACACACCUGAACAAAAGGGGCCUGUUGGCAGUUCCAGGUGCUGUUGCUUGUACCUGCGAAGCCAGGGCACUGAUCGGAUCUGCACAAUCUCGACUCUUGCUGCAGGCUCCCUAUGGGGCCUCACAGGAGAGCACCCCCCACGCAUCAAAAGAAACAAUCGGCGCUCACAGGAAGAGAAACGUGUGGGAGAGAGUGUAAUUAUGCUCAAAUAAUCAACAGUCGGCGAUCCAUCAAUUGAAUCAUGGAGUUUUUGCAAAAACGCAUGUAUGUGUUUAAUUGCGUUAUUUGAAGUGUAAAGGACAGUUCAGACCAAGAAACCUAA